UACUUUACUCAUGACUUCAAACUCUCGGGCUCCAGAAACCUCCUGCCUUCCCACUUUAUAACACUGAAAGACUUUUCACCUGACACACACACAAUUUCUGAACUCUUUCACCAUCCAGCUUCUAACCCUGUUUAGGAGAACAAGUGCUUUUCUCAGAGUGCACCAUGGGCUGUAGUGCGAGUAGAGCUCUAAAAGUCAUCAAGGUCGCAGAUGCCGUUGGGGAGCUUGCUGAGGCAGUCGAAUCAAAUGGAUCAGAGAAUGGAGAUGCAAACUCGAACGCAGGGGACAACAAAGAUGAUGCUGGGAAGGACGACAGCUGAUGAUGAUUCGCCUGCACUUUAAGACUCCAUAAUGUUUUCCACAAUCAGCAGAAGAUCCAGAAUCCACUCUGAUGUCCAAGACCUAUAAAUACAUACAUUUCAGCACAAAAGUUUGCACCCCCCCCUUUGAUUAUUCAAUACAAAUUAUUCAACAAGAACAAGAAAGAGUUUAGUGGUUUUACUCUGAAGCAACAGAAUAAACCAAGAGAAAUUGAUUUUUUUAGAGGUUUUUGUUACACUGAUGUAAAGAAGAAGUGCAGUGCUAAACGCCUACAUGUGGACAUAUACAUGAGGGAAUUAGUAACAGAAUGUGUAGAAGGCAGGGCUAGAAAUACAUGCUAUAUUUAGUAUAGGGGGUGUAAACUUUUGAACUGAUAUCAUUUUCACUGUUUCACAUUUAAUGUUCCAACACAGUUUAGCCAAUUUGAUUUUUAAUAACAAAGAAGGAUUUAAAUUGUUAUUCUACACUAAAUACCUUGUUAUAAAUAAAUUCAUAAUUGUACAAGAUCUGGAAUCUCUUAGCAGUUAGCCAAAACAAAUAAUCGAUUUUGUCAGAAAUAAUAUGUAUUACGUGGAAAAAAAGUGCUCACAAGAGUCCAGCUGUUAUUUAUGUAAUAAUAAAGCAAUAUUGUUAUCUUAAAAUCA